UCUAGAUCUUCAUUCAGUGGGAGAAACAUGGUAGAGUGUAUAUAUAACAUCUUACCUCAACCAGAAUCUGUAAAUAUCAGUUUUUGAUUAAAAAAAAUUUUUUUUGAGUUGGGGUCUCAUCUGUUGCACAGGCUGGAAAGCAGUGACACAAUCACAGCUCAUUGCAAUCUGAAACUCCUGGGCUCAUGCAAUCCUCUUGCCUCAACCUCCCAAGUAGCUGGGACUACCAGCGUGCACCACAAGGCUCAGAUAUGUCACCCACCCAAAAGGAAAGAGUCUCUACCUGGCCAGUUCCCCUACCGGCUACACCAGCUGUACCACAUCUGGUCCUCAACCUCAUGGAUGCACCUCUCUGCCAACCCACAGAUUAUUGAAACAAGCCAACUGCAUCCUCCUGCAGGGACCAGGGGCACCUCAACCUCUUGUUGCCACAAAGCCUGCCAUCCACAGCCUUGGCUGGUUUUCUCUGCCCCCCAGCACAACCCUGCAUGGCCCUGCACGGCGUGUGAUGCCCUCCUCCCCCAGGGUGUUAGUAGACGUGACUGAUGAGCUGCUGCCAAGGUCAUCUGUCCAGUGUUGGGCAUCGUGUGUUCAGCCAUCUCAUAUGCUUUAGGAUGGGACAUCCCUCCCUAACCAGUGGGAUAAAUAAGAGACCUUGGACUUCAUGCAAGCAGUUUAGUCCUGAGACGGCAACAAGGCGCAGAAUGAACACAGAGCAUGCUGCUCUCCUGGGUGACUCCACACUUGCUACAUAACGGAAGCUCAGCAAACAUAGUCUGAAGAAAGGAUGAGGCCACGGUGUCUGAGCCAAAGCCCCCUGUUUUCAGAGACUAGGAAUGGGGGCUUAAAAACAAUCCUCCAGGGAAGUGGCAUUUGGAGCAAAGAGAAGGACAUGGGACUGAGAUUUGAGAGAUGUGAGUGCGGCUCCUGCUCUUUCCCUGGGCCAAGAAUUGGGUGAAUUGUUGUUAUCCUCUAUGAUGGUUAAGGUUAAGUGUCAACUUGAUUGGAUUGAAGGAUGCAAAGUAUUGUUCCUGAGUGCGUCUGUGAAGGUGUUGCCAAAGGAGAUUAACAUUUGAGUUAGUAAACUAGGAGAGGCAGAUCCACCCUCAGUCUGGGUGGGCACCAUUGAAUCAGCUGCCAGCUCGGCUAGAAUAAAACCAGGCAGAGGAACGUGGAAGGACUAGACUGGCUGAGCCUUCUGGCCCCAUUUUUCUCCUGGGCUGUAUGCUUCCUGCCCUUGAACAUCAGACUCCAAAUUCUUCAGCUUUGGGACUCUUGCAUCUUCGACCACAGACUGAAGGCUGCACUGUUGGCUUCCCAACUUUUGAGGUUUUGGGACUCGGACUGGCUUCCUGGCUCCUCAGCUUGCAGAUGGCCUACUGUGGGAUCUCACCUUGUUAUCGUGUGAAUCAACACUCCUUAAUAAACUCCCCUUUAUAUAUACAUCUAUCCUAUUAGUUCUGUCCCUCUAGAGAACCCUGACUCAUACAGAUUUUGGUAGCAGGAGUAAUUCUAGAGGAACAGAGUAUUAAGGAUGGAGUUCUUUUGUUGAUUUGGGGGUUUCUGGAGUUGGCUGCUUAAUAUGAUUAGACUCAAAAAUGCUAAGGGCUCUACUUCUAAUAGCAUGGAGAACACCGAUAGUUCUUGCAAAAUAAAUGCAUUUGAUACUCCUGAUUCACUGCUCAUGAGAGGCAGGAGCUUAAUGACUCUAUACCUGAUAUCUUUGACCCUACGUGGAGAACCAAGGAAUAUAAUGAAGUUGGUUGGUUGCUCCUAAGUUCACUGGACAAAGUGAUGAAAGAAAAAGAGCCUCAUUUUCUUUAUCUGAAAACAGAAACAAGGUCGACCAGCAUGUGGCUGAGCCAAUGAACCCAGGCAAGAUGUGAAGAGACCUGCCCCUCCGGGAGCUGACGAACAUCGCCUUGUGCCUGCCUCCUCCUUGACAGCCCCUGAUUUAAUGCAGAGAUGGAGGCAGGGGAGCAUCUGAGUCUGUUCGGGUAGCAGCAAGACUCCUUCCCGCCCACACCAACCCCAGCUAGCCUCAGAGAAGGCUACACAGCCUUGCAGAGGAGAAGGGGCUGUGAAAUCUGCUGGAUUCAUUCCUUUCAAAGCACUUUACCAAUGUGCACACACAGGCCCUCCAUUCUCUCAGGAAGAUCAAAAAGCAGCCCAGAUAAGCUGAGAUGGAUGAGUCUCUCUAGAACAGUGCACGAUACCUAGGGUGAUCAAUAAAGUGUUUGUAGAAUAAGCAAGUGAAUUAAUAAAUAUGUGAAUGAAUGAAACCAUUUUUUUGAAAAUGACUUCCGUUGAGUUCCACAGAGCAGAAUUUGAAAACUCAGUGAUUUGUCAGUUGUUGCCAACCCAUCUCCGUGGUUCAAAAUAAGCACUAAUUCUCACACGCGCAGAUUCACAGGUGACUCAUGGCUCUGCGACCCGGGCUCUGCGACAUGGGCUCUGCUGGAUAGGGUGCAGGCUGUGGAUUGGGCUCAGAUCUGCUCCACACGUGUGCGCACUGGACCGAGUAUCAAGGGACAGUAGCUCCUGUUAUAAAGAGAGCACACGCUCAUCACAGCAGAUCCCCAGGAGCAAGAGUGAGCCAAGCUGCACAUUUAAUCCCUUUGCUCUCAUCACUUCUGCUGACUUCCAAAUGGUCAAAGCAAGUCACACAGCCAAACAUCAGCAGGGUGGGAAGUGUUCUCCACCUGCAGUGUGAAGGGGAGAGAGUGAAUAUUUGCUUAAUGAUAAUCUAAACUGUCACAAAAACCCUGGCCCUAGAGAGUGGCUCGACCAGCUUUAAUGUUGUGAUGGGUCACAAUCUAAGAGGCUCUGAGAUUGCUAUUGUUUAAAAUUAAUUAAUAAAUGAAAAUAAAUGCCAGAAUCUGACAUGCCCUGAGGGAUGAGUCACAGUGACAGCUAGUGCAGGCGCACCCCACAGCCAUCUGCCAG
rnacentral:lncRNA from 10 species